rnacentral:rRNA from 1 species
CGGAGGGUGCAAGCGUUGUCCGGAUUUAUUGGGUUUAAAGGGUGCGUAGGCGGCCCGUUAAGUCCGUGGUGAAAGCCAACAGCUCAACUGUUGAACUGCCAUGGAUACUGACGGGCUUGAGUACAGACGAGGUAGGCGGAAUGGAUGGUGUAGCGGUGAAAUGCAUAGAUACCAUCCAGAACACCGAUUGCGUAGGCAGCUUACUAGGCUGUAACUGACGCUGAGGCACGAAAGCGUGGGAGCGAACAGGAUU